rnacentral:tRNA from 1 species
GAGGGUAUAGCUCAGUGGUAGAGCCCAUGCUUAGCAUGCACGAGGUCCUGGGUUCAAUCCCUAGUACCUCCU